GGCGGCUGAUGGCGAGCGGAGACGGGAGGCCUGGGCUUGGGCAGCGGUGGCGGUGUCCUGGCCCCGACGGUGACGGAGGGCUUUGAUGAGGCCCGGCGGCCGCGUGCUUGCCAGGAAGGCCCGGGGCUUGAGGCCCUGGAAGGCCUGGCCCGUUCAGGAGUCCCGGCUGUUUGGGGGAAUGUCCCACGCCCUGUGGGGAUUUGAGCCGUGUCUCCCGGCCGACUUGGGUGUCCCGGUUGGUGUGUGGUCGGGCCUGGGACGGGCGUGGUGCGGGCGGGAACCGCCGGGUAGCGACCACGUCUCGUCAGGGGGUUCGUGCCUGCUGCUGGGCACGGGAACGGCUCCGGGGGGGUCUUACGGGCGCUGAGGGGAUUCCGCAUCAUGGAGAGGUCAAGGGGAGUUGGUGGCCGUCACCCUUCGUCAGGGCAGGGUAGCCUCAGUGCUCCCGUGCUGGGGUUCCUGGAGAGCCGGCUGGCACGGACAGACUCUUGUGAGGGCAAGUGGCUGAUCGUGCGUCGGAUGGGUCCAGCAAAGGAGAGAAAGCUUCGGUGCGCGCGCGCUCGCCAGGGAAAGGGUGACAGCGGGUGGGACCGAGAGGGAGAGAGAGAGAGGGAGAGAACAAAGGAAGAGAGAGGGUUUCCGCAGGGGCGGUGAGUCCUGGCGGAAGUCCUGAGGCAGAGGAGGUGCCAGGGGUUUGGGUUUCCCGGUCGUGUCGGGGGUGUGGCGCAGGUUGCCCCAGUGGGCCUGAAUGUGCCUCCGUGGGGCACCUUGUUGCCGUGUUGGGGGGCGGGGAGCCGGCCUUGGGGAUCCAUCUUUCGGGCCCUGGGACGUGGGAGAAGAAUGCCGGGGCCUCUCUCUGUGCCCCUGGCACGCCUCUGUGCAGGCCGGGCCUGCACCCCCCCCCAGGCAGGGUCCGUGUGGCUGCAGACACCCAGAGAGAGGGGAGGCUGGGGAGGCUGGGGAGCCGUGGCAGCCCGAUGCAGUGCGGGUCUCCAGGUGGAGGGGCCCUGGUCCCCUGGCGCCAGCGUGGCCCUUCCUCCUUGUGGAAACCCUUGUGGUGUGUGUGCUCUCUCGCCCUGACCCAGGAGAGCAGCAUGGCGGACCCCUGAUCUUGUGGCGUGCCACCGCGCGAGGCCGAGGAGCUCCCGCAGACCAGUGGGCGUGGCGUCCUUGUCGCGGCUCUGUGGAGACCUGGCGAUGGAGAGCAGCAUGGCGGACCCCUGAUCUUGUGGCGUGCCACCGCGCGAGGCCGAGGAGCUCCCGCAGACCAGUGGGCGUGGCGUCCUUGUCGCGGCUCUGUGGAGACCUGGCGAUGGAGAGCAGCAUGGCGGACCCCUGAUCUUGUGGCGUGCCACCGCGCGAGGCCGAGGAGCUCCCGCAGACCAGUGGGCGUGGCGUCCUUGUCGCGGCUCUGUGGAGACCUGGCGAUGGUGAGCGGCCCCUGUCCUCAGUGGUGGAGAACUCGCCCUUGGGGCGCUCGUCUGUCCGGGAGCCCCGGGCCAGCCCCGCUUCUCGCGGGCUUUGGCCCCGGCAGGCCAGCUCCGGGGCGUGAGGGGAGCGUCCCGUCCUGCCCAGUGGCUCGUCUGUCUGGGCACGCCCCCAAACGCUGCCGUGAUGGAGCGGGUGGAUGUCCAGGUGCGGAGGCCGUGAAUUUGCCUUGCGGCGGCGGAGCCCGUGCUCGGAUCGAUGAUGACUCCCUCUAAAGCAUUCCUUGGAAAUCUGAACAAAAUGAGUGAGAACUCACUACCGUCUCCUCAUCGAAACUGAGGUCCGGCACGUGGCGGCCACGGGGCUCGGGGGUAGAUGGGCCCUUGGCCUUGGGGCCUCUGGUGUCAGCAGCCACUCGGGUGAGGUCUGGGGAAGGCGGCCGCCUGCCGGGCCCAGGAAGCAUGGGGCCCGUCGCCCGGCGCUGGCCUCGGGGGAGAGGCCGCGUGCCCGAGCGUGCUGGAGAUCCCGGGCGGCCUCCCGCCGGCCUUGGGGUUUCGCAAGCCGUCGCGGGGGCCGAAAUUUGGGCCCGGCCCGCGAGGCAAGUGUGCGGCCCUAGGGCCCCAGGGGCGUCCUGGCCCAGGCCGGGCGCCCUUCUCAGGAUGCUGUGGGGAGACGGGAUCCCGGCAGGGUAGUGUUCUCUUUCUGCUCUGGGGACCCCUGAGGGCCACCUGCUGCAGGGGGUCUGUGGUAGCGGGGCCCUUGGAUCAGGGCCGUCCCCCAUGGGAGGGGGGGAGCCUGGGAACCCCUGAGGGCGCUCCCCUGGGACGUCCAGGGAUGUUGGGGCGGAGGCUGGGGCUGGGUGGCGAGAAGGGGCAGCUGAAGUGGUGAGCGACAGGCGGGCAGAGGGAGCC
ensembl:lncRNA